rnacentral:rRNA from 1 species
UACGGGGGGUGCGAGCGUUGUCCGGAUUCACUGGGCGUAAAGGGCGCGUAGGCGGCCAGCACAAGUCAGUUGUGAAAUCUCCGAGCUUAACUCGGAAAGGUCAACUGAUACUGUGCGACUAGAGUGCGGAAGGGGCAACUGGAAUUCUUGGUGUAGCGGUGAAAUGCGUAGAUAUCAAGAGGAACACCUGCGGCGAAGGCGGGUUGCUGGGCCGACACUGACGCUGAGGCGCGAAAGCCAGGGAGCGAACGGG